GACAGAGGUGCCAAGCGUUAGGCGGAAUCACUGGGCUUAAAGCGUGUGUAGGCGGGUCGUUAAGUACCUUGUGAAAUCCCACGGCUCAACCGUGGAACGGCUGGGUAUACUGGCGAUCUUGAGCCACCUAGGGGCAGUCGGAACAAGUGGUGGAGCGGUGAAAUGCGUAGAUAUCGUCAGGAACGCCAAUGGUGAAGACAGGUGACUGGGCUAGUUCUGACACUGAGGCACGAAAGCGUGGGGAGCGAACGGG
rnacentral:rRNA from 1 species